rnacentral:rRNA from 1 species
GACGAACGCUGGCGGCGUGCUUAACACAUGCAAGUCGAACGGAAAGGCCCCUUUGGGGGUCCUCGAGUGGCGAACGGGUGAGUAACACGUGAGUAACCUGCCCUUGACUUCGGGAUAACUUCAGGAAACUGGGGCUAAUACCGGAUAGGAAUCCUUGCUGCAUGGUGGGGGUUGGAAAGCUUCGGCGGUUUUGGAUGGACUCGCGGCUUAUCAGCUUGUUGGUGGGGUAGUGGCUUACCAAGGCUUUGACGGGUAGCCGGCCUGAGAGGGCGACCGGCCACAUUGGGACUGAGAUACGGCCCAGCCGCCUACGGGAGGCAGCAGUGGGGAAUCUUGCACAAUGGGCGGAAGCCUGAUGCAGCAACGCCGCGUGCGGGAUGACGGCCUUCGGGUUGUAAACCGCUUUCAGCAGGGGCGAAGCUUGUGGUGACGGUACCUGCAGAAGAAGCACCGGCUAACUACGUG